GCAUAUAAGUAAGCGGAGGAAAAGGAACUAAAUAGGAUUCCCUUAGUAAUGGCGAAUGAACAGGGAUAAGCUUAGGCUUGUAACCAGAGCUUCGGCUUUGGGUUGUAGCCUGCAGACACCUCGCUAUCGGUGGCUCGAGCGGAAGCCUCUUGGAACAGAGCGUGUGCCCGGGUGAGAAUCCUGCGUGUCGCUUGAUGCCCGCUGUAUACGGCUGGUGCUCUCAGAGUCACGCUCCUUGGAAUUGGAGCGUAAAUUAGGUGGUAAAUUUCAUCUAAAGCGAAAUACAGGCUUGAGACCAAUAGUGAACAAGUACCAUGAGGGAAAGAUGAAAAGGACUUUGGAAAGAGAGUUAAAAGUGCUUGAAAUUGCUGAGAGGGAAGCGAAUGGAACCACAUGUCUUGCUGAGAUUGCUGUAGAUCUUUGCAAACUUUGGGUGCAGAAGCGCGAGUUCUGUGCUUAUCUGGGAGUAAAGGGAUGCAGUGUUUCUUAGCUUGCGCGUCGCCUCCUGCGCCUGUUUGAGGAUGGCCUUCAGUGUGCAUGGUCUUUUUGUGAAGUGGCCUCUGCACUUUGUGGGAUUCAGACAGGCGCGGUUAGCUGAUGGAGUGGUUUUUUUCGACCCGUCUUGAAACACGGACCAAGGAGUCUAGCACGCGCGCAAGUUCUCGGGUAGCAAGCCUGAAUGCGCAAUGAAGGUGAUUGCUGGGAUUUUGCACCGGCGACCGACCGAUCAAUUGGGAGAAGUUUGAGUUUGAGCACGUGUGUUAGGACCCGAAAGAUGGUGAACCAUGCCUGCGAAGGGCAAAGUC
rnacentral:rRNA from 1 species